UGGGGAAUCUUGGACAAUGGGCGCAAGCCUGAUCCAGCCAUGCCGCGUGAGUGAAGAAGGCCUUCGGGUUGUAAAGCUCUUUUACCAGGGACGAUAAUGACGGUACCUGGAGAAUAAGCCCCGGCAAACUUCGUGCCAGCAGCCGCGGUAAUACGAAGGGGGCUAGCGUUGUUCGGAAUUACUGGGCGUAAAGCGCACGUAGGCGGAUUGUUAAGUCAGAGGUGAAAUCCCGGAGCUCAACUUCGGAACUGCCUUUGAUACUGGCAAUCUCGAGUCCGGAAGAGGUUAGUGGAAUUCCCAGUGUAGAGGUGAAAUUCGUAGAUAUUGGGAAGAACACCAGUGGCGAAGGCGGCUAACUGGUCCGGUACUGACGCUGAGGUGCGAAAGCGUGGGGAGCAAACAGGAUUAGAUACCCCAGUAGUCCCUGAGCGGGCUGG
rnacentral:rRNA from 1 species